UGCUUUGCACAAUGGCAGAAUCAUAGCCAGUGAGGCCCAGCCUAGGUAUGAUUAUUGCUAGUUGAAAACUAGCACAUUUAACAUAACUAAGGAACAAAAACUCUGUACUGAAAUAGGUAUU
rnacentral:snRNA from 1 species